UACGAAGGGGGCUAGCGUUGCUCGGAAUCACUGGGCGUAAAGGGUGCGUAGGCGGGUCUUUAAGUCAGGGGGGAAAUCCUGGAGCUCAACUCCAGAACUGCCUUUGAUACUGAGGAUCUUGAGUCCGGGAGAGGUGAGUGGAACUGCGAGUGUAGAGGUGAAAUUCGUAGAUAUUCGCAAGAACACCAGUGGCGAAGGCGGCUCACUGGCCCGGUACUGACGCUGAGGCACGAAAGCGUGGGGAGCAAACGGG
rnacentral:rRNA from 1 species